UACGAGAGGUGCAAGCGUUACUCGGAAUCACUGGGCGUAAAGCGCACGUAGGCGGAUUGAUAUGUCAAUUGUGAAAGCCCCGGGCUCAACCUGGGAAUUGCAGUUGAAACUGUCUUUCUUGAAUACCUGAGAGGGUGGGGGAAUACCUAGUGGAGAAGUGAAAUUCGUAGAGAUUAGGUGGAACACCAGAGGCGAAGGCGCCUGCCUGGCAGUGUAUUGACGCUGAGGUGCGAAAGUGCGGGGAGCAAACAGG
rnacentral:rRNA from 1 species